AAACAAUUUUUUGCAACCGAGAGAUCAUUUUCAUUUUGUUCGAUAUCGUCGUCGGGUUUUCUUGUUUCUCUCCCAAACGGCGAUAGCUUGCAUCUGCACCAACUUCUCCGAUUAAGGCGGCUGCAGAGCUGGCCAGGGAUCGGAUCGUAGUUGGAGUAUGUGAGCGACCACACCUUUAAGCAAGAAUUCAACAUUGAGAAGUUUCAGCUAGUUGAAGCAGAGAAGAAGAAGAUUAAACAAAAGUAUGAGAAGAACGAGAAACAGGUCGAUGUUAGAAAGAAGAUGUGAG